CCUACGGGUGGCUGCAGUGAGGAAUAUUGGUCAAUGGCAGGAAUCCUGAACCAGCCAUGCCGCGUGCAGGACGACGGCUCUACGAGUUGUAAACUUCUUUUGUAAAGGGGUAAAAUGAGCUACGAGUGGGUGUUUGAGAGUACGGGACGAAUAAGGAUCGGCUAACUCCGUGCCAGCAGCCGCGGUAAUACGGAGGAUCCGAGCGUUAUCCGGAUUCAUUGGGUUUAAAGGGUGCGUAGGUUGUUUUGUAAGUUAGUGGUGAAAUACCGGUGCUCAACAUCGGGGCAGCCGUUGAUACUGUAGGACUAGAGAUCGGAUGCAGCAGGCGGAAUGUGUAGUGUAGCGGUGAAAUGCAUAGAUAUUACGCAGAACACCGAUUGCGAAGGCAGCUUGCUGGGCCGGAUCUGACACUGAUGCACGAAAGCGUGGGGAUCGAACAGGAUUAGAUACCCUAGUAGUC
rnacentral:rRNA from 1 species